rnacentral:lncRNA from 1 species
AUGAGCAUAAGGUUGUCACGGUUGCUGUGGCGACGACACGUUGCUGGGGCAACGGCAGCGAUGCAGAGCCUGUGGAGUGUAAUCAGGGGUCAGGCUGACGAUGGAGCCGGGAUGUGUGGGGGCUGUGGGAAGGGGCAGCCAGCCCCAGCGCUCCCACCAGCCCCACGCUGCUCCCCAAGCCCCAAACCAGCACCCACAGCUGGGAAAAGCAGCGCUGCUCCCCUGUCACAGGCACCCCGAGGCAGCAGCGGCGCUGCCUCCACGCCUUGGCACGUGCAUGGCCCAGGGAUGUGCUGUGCCCCGCGCAAGCCUCACCCACUAAUGGGACAGCUCACAGAAGCCAUCCCGGAGCUCAGCACCUCCCCUCUCCAACUUUCCCAUCCCCUCUGGGGCUGCCUGGGCCUCUGGCCCCUCACCCCACCCCAGCAUCCACCCAAACCAAGGGUGGCUCAGGCAGGACAGAGACUGUGGGGGCAACAACUGCACCUCCUCCACCGCCUCUCCCAAAGGGAUGUGAGGACACCAAGGUGGUUUUCAGAUUUUGAAGACAGCUUGGUACUGGGCUGCUGGCAAGAGGAGUGACCUAUGGGAUAACACUGUCAACCCACAGAAACCAGGCUCAGCAGAGGCCAAGGGGUGAAGGAGAUAUGUCAGAGCCACCCUCCUGCUGGGAAAAGCAGGGCUGUGGUGCCCAGGAGGGAUGAGUGUCCAUGAGACCUUCCCUGGAUGGCCCCGGCCCUGUUCUCUGUCACUCAGCAGCAGCCAAUAGCAGCUGUGGCAAAAAGCACUGAAC